UUUUUUUUUUUUUAAAUCAUGGCAAAAACAGCUUGUCUAAUCUCAUCUCAUUAAUGAUACCUUUGUCUGUUCUGCUGCUCAUGCUUAGAAUGCUUAGAAUUAGGUUUCUGUUGGAAUUUCCUGCUUUCUGAACUCAGUUUUAGGUGGAGUUCUUGAUAUCAAAUGGGUUUAUGUUUAAAAGCACCGGGAUGUGAUGUGUCCAAAACUAAUGAAGGUCUGCCAUCAACAUCAGUAGGGCAGAUACCUUGCAAGACAGAUGUUACAGGUUGGUGUGGAAUGUGGGGUCUUUCAAAGGCAGCAGCACAUUGCCAACUAAGUGGGUAAGAACAUGGAAUUGUCUAUUAGGUUAAUGCUUGCCGGGCCUUGCAGGGGUUGGCUGGAAAAGGGAGAUUUGGGGAGAUGCAUCUCCAAGAGUCUGGCAAAAGCCACAUAUAAUUGGUAAAUGGAAGUGUGUAGAACCUUGCCUUAGGUGGCAAUGCUCAGUUAAAAACCAAAUUGACAGUGAGAAGUAUAGGGCUUGGGUGUGGGGACACACAGCUGGCAAAGGUGCAAAAUAUUGGGAGCAAUAGAAGAUGUUUAUCUUGCUCUUGCCUUAGCAUAACUCUGUGCUCCCUCAGGGCCAUUCUUAGGGCUUUACCCCAGUGCCUCCAGUGUCAGCAGUGGAGACCAGUGCCCUCAUUGCAGUGCUCCUGAUAUUAUGCCUAUAGUUUUUUCUCCUAUUAAACUGCUGUCCCUUCAUCUUCCCCCAGUGUGCAGGAAUGCUUUUUAUCUAUUAUAUUUUCUGCUUUUCUACUGUUGUCACUAAUGUCUGUUUGGUCUAGUACCAUGACAGCUAAGCACCUGUAGCCAUAUAGUCAUAAACCCUGUAAUCACAAAAGGGUUGUUUUAUUCUACACAGCAGCUGUCUGGAAUUGAUGUGUCUCUCUUUCUUAGCUAUCAGGAGCAUUUUUUUCUCCUCCAUUUUAGUGCUGGGAAUCUGAGAUUCCCAUGCAUAACCUUGUCAUGGAAUUCUGUGAAGGAGUAGUUUCUGGUUCCAGUUGUCCACAGACCUUAACCACACUAAAAGUUCACAACAGAGUAAGUCAAGUUAAAAAACUGCACAUCACAGGUCUGAGCCUGCACUAGAUUUAGAGUUUUGUGUAAUCCCAUCCUUACCUUUUCCUUCAUUUUUUUUUUUUUAAUUUUGAUUUAAAAAGUCUGGGAACAAUGACAUUUUAAGAGUUUAAAGUUUAAUAAAUAGGUUGCUGAUGCAUAGCUUCCUGUUAAGCAGUUGGGAAUUUUUGGAAAAUGCUGCAGUUUUAAUAUACUUUGACAGAUCUCUUUCAAAACUUCUUACAAACCUUAUAAACAGUGAUGAGAAAUUAAUAUUGUUUGAUAUCUUCUGGGAAGAUACUGUGGUCAGUAUCUGAAUGAAAAAGGGAGGAUUGAAAAAAGUUUCAACCAAAAAACUAUUAUCUACCUUGAAUAUAGCUUUCUGCCACUGCUCUGCUGUACAUAAUUUGAUACUAAAAAGUGAAAAGUUAGACUGACAGUAAGAUACACUGAAGAAAAAAAAUAGCUAUGGGCUGAGGACAGAAGAAAUGCUUACCUUCAAUGACAGGUUUCAUGCUUUUGUUAAAUAUUUGGUUGAGGGUUUUUUUUUCUUAGAUCGGUUUUGAUUGAACUAAACCUGCUAUAUUUAGAUCAAUUAUUAAUUUAUUCUGUGCACCAAACCACGGAGGCAAUAAUAUGUGUAUUAACAUACCUGUCCUGUGGAAAUUAUUCAGAAGUACUCAAAUAGUGGCAUGAUCUUUAUAGUUUUCUUUAUUCUGUGUUCUGCAAUUCUCCACAAACAUCAAAGAUAGACACAAGAAUCAGCACAAAGGUUCAGCAGGUUUUCAACAAAUGAGUUUUGGUACUUGUCUUAAAUGAUGCUGACCUCAGUAUAUUAAAAAACAAAUUAACCCUACUACUUCCUUCCAAUAAAAGGGAGAAUAUGGGGGGCAUGCAACAGUCUGUGUGUUUUUCUGCAAAUUAGAGGUUUGAAGGAAUUGUGCAUGAAAAACUCCCCACUGAGCUUACUGAAUUUUAUGUAACAACCCUAUUAUCUGGUAUUAGUGUUAAAUGUCCACUUUCUCUCAUGUCCCCAUGUUGGUAGAUGAAAACUUACUGUUUGGGCUUUUUAUGUUGGCUUGAUUGCACACAGUGCUAAGUGAACGCAAAAGUCCUUUUAAAUGAGCUCAGAGCAAGGAAAAUCUGUUUCAGUAGGAAAAGUGUUUGGGUCUAUUUUGGAAUGUUGUUGUGGCUUUAGAAUAUUUAAGAAAACUACUGAAACUACUAUGUAAUAUUUUAGCUGCCUAUGGGACUCUUCAGCAUGCAAAAUGUAUGAUGUCAUCUUCCCAUUGUCCCUGUUGGUUGGGGAAGGGAGGAAGAAGGUAUGUAGUGAUAUUAUGAGAACAGUCUCCAAUAUAGACUCUUGGUCAGGGUUACAGCUUGAGAAUUAGAGCAAAGAGAAUGUCUUAGCUCUAAUAAAUAAAUCUGUUGCUUUGUCUGCAACUUUUCACAUGCUUUACAUUCCCCAUUUAUUUGCACUGCUUUUGUUGUUUAUGGAGGCUGGUUGUUUUAACUAUUCCAAUUGUACAAAGCAGAUCGCUUUCUUGGGUUGUGAUUUGCUAGUUCAAUUGUAUGGCCAGAAUAUGUAGCAUGACAUAAUAUAAAUAGUCAGUGAAAGAUGUGUAUAACAAUAUGGUAGAAAGCCCAAAAAAAGCUGUUAGUUGUCUUUCUAUACUUCCUCUGGAUUCUUGUGGAUUUUUUGGCAUAAGCAUUUUGGUGUAACAGAAGAUACAAACUACAACUCAUUAAUCAACUGCAGAAAGCUAACUCUGAUAUCCUGCUGUGUUACUGCAUUAUUGGUACAUUUGUAAUAUAAAAAGUUAGUACUUAGAUAUUACCUCUGAAGGCGAACUUGAGGAAAAUAUAAUUUGUGCUUGUUUUGAGCCCUUGUUUUGUUUUGCUAGUACUUGCAAUAAAUAUGAGGGAUUUCUUACUACGGGAAAGUAUUUUGCACUGUUCAGCUUUUACUACUUUCGUUCCCAAAAAUUAUUACAGGUUAUUGAUUCCUCCCUAGGAGUUACCAGCCUGGUUUGCUUGUGUGCCACUGGCCAUGAGGGCUCCUGGAGAAGCCUGUAUUCAUCCUGGCCUCAUUUAUUCUCUAAGCAGACACUGUGAUGUAAGCUAAGGUUUUAAUUCAUUCAGAGUGUGAGUGUAAGGCUGUGUGGCAUCCAUGCACUUUCUCACACCCUGUAACAGUUCAGUUCUGCUUCUUUUCUCACCUACCAUCAACCUGUUUCCUGUCAAAGGCUUUUGACUGCCUUUGUGGCCCAUAAAGCCAACACUUCACACGGGCAAUUCAGAGCCAUCUCCUGCCAAUGUUUCUCAGGCCUUUUCUGUUACUUCUGAGAGAAAUCUUAGACCCUGACAGAUUGGAAAGAUUUUUAAUUUCACUUCUAAUCUCUAGAAAGAUUUAACCCAUUUUGAGAAGUGUUACCCGCUUCUGAAAUGUUUUCUAUGUCCCAUACAAGGCCUAUAUUGCCAUCAAUUAGUGUUUGCUGCUGCAUGCACUGAGCCUCUAGAUAAAGGAGUUAGGGCUAUUCUUGAUAAUUUUCACUACUUGGCUCUACAAGUAUUCUUCCAAAUUGUCUCCAUAUUUCUUCAAAGGCCUUUUUUUAAUCUCACCCACUGUGAUUACUUAGUCUCUUCCCCUUUUCUUCUUUGACAGGUCAAUUGCUUCACAUAUGCAAUGUUUGCUUGUACAAACAGUUUUGUAAAGUCUUUUAGAGAAAGGAAGAAGAUCAGUUAAACUAUUGAGAUAAGGCUGGUGAAACAGUGGAAAAGAUCUUCCUUUUCCAGGUUAUUCUACAUGCUGAGAGAAGGCUGUACUGCUGUUGCCAAGCUUUUGACAUCUUUCAAAAUUGUAAUGAGAAGUUUAAACACCUACUGGUAUCCUUUGGAGGGAAACUGUUCAUGAAAUAUGACCUACCAACCAAAAAUAAUAUUUUGAACCUGGGAGUCAGGUUAAAUUAACAUCACAACUAAAAGACAAGUAUGAUAAUCUUUCCUGUUGCUCAUUUUUUCCAGUUGAGGCAUUUGUUGCUUAAUUGUGACUGACUUUAUGCAUAAACAGCUUUGCAGGGUUAAUACAUUGCUUUCUAGCAAGUAUCUGGACACUUUCCCACUUAAGACCUAGUCAGUGUUCUCCUGGUGCCCAUUUCCUCUCUCCUUCCUUCCCCCAUUCAAAAUACCCUAGGUUUUGUUCAAAUGGGAAAGGCAUCAGUGUAUCCAGAGGUAUCCAGAUUAAAAGCACAGAGCUCUCAGAUUUAAAGCCCUGCAGUGGAGGUGCGUGGAUGGUAAAAACAAAGCUUCCCAUUUGGUAUUUCAGCCUGGAUUUGAGACACAGCUUUGCCUGGUCAUAGCUUUAUUGCAACUUUUGACAGCAGUGAUGAAGGAGCACUAAUUUGAAAGACAACUAGCAUUUGUGCAGGGCACGGCUGAGCCCCUCAGCCUAAAUGUAACAGCUUAGGAGUAAGCUAUGCUGCUUGAAUAGCUGUGGACAGGAAUUCCCAGUCUUACCCUGUGGCCUACAUUCCUGUGCAGAAAUGCAUAGGAAUGUCAGUGAUUUCAGUUCCAUGAUGGCUGACCAGGCCAACCACACCAUUUCUCGCUGUUGUUUUAAAUGAUGGCUGCUUACAUUUAUAUCAUGCUGUUUGAUUCUUUGCUUUUCCUGAGAAGUUAGCUGAAAACUGAAAACAAUGCUAACAGUUAACCUGUGGAGGACAAAGGGGCUUUUUGUUUAAAAAUAGAGAAUGUGAAUGCCAAUUCUGGUCCCAAUAUAUGUUUCUGGCAGAGUAGGUUAGCCCAAAUGCUGUUUUGUUUUUCCUUAGUAAGGGUACCUAGACAUCUGAAUUCUAUCCUUCAUACUGUCAAGCAAUAUCUGGAAGAAGCCUAAUAAGCAUGGAAAUGUUUCAAACUUCUUUUUUUUAAUAAAGGCAUUGUUUUCAGAAAACACUUUGGGCAAACUCUAGACCAGGCACAGUUGUGAGGAAAUCAUCAAACUUGUGUUCUGCAAGGAGAAAAGAGACAAAAACACGAGUUUGUUUAUUUUUUUGCAUGUAUUUUCACUCCCACAUCACCUUUAACUAUUACAGAUUAAAGAAAAGAUAGCUGAUUACUGCCAAAGCUCUGUGAAGAAAAUAAUUGGUUUCAGAGGGCUGCAUUUCCAUGAUGUAAUUGGGCAUUUUGCAUUUAAAUCAUUGUGACAACAGUGCUUUCCUCAGCAUCCCAUCUUCUGAACUCUGAGCAUGUGAACUGAGCUGAGGCUGCCCAGCAUGACUGUGAUGUGGGAGCAGCUCCCUUUCUCCAGCUGGCUGUGGCAUGGAGCUGCAAUCAGGAGAAGCCAUGCCCUGGUUGGCUCUUGGGCAAUGUGCCACUUUUCUCCUGCUGCAAGGCUUGCAGACAAACUUGGCUGGUGGCCUGAUCAGCUGCAUUCAGCCUGGGUCUUUGGGAGCUGAAGAGAAUGUAUGCACUGUAUUUUUUGGCAUGAAAUGUAACAGGUAAAGAGUAGUUUUUACAAAAAAAAAAAAAAAAAAAAAAAGUUUAGUUUCUUUUCCUGGUUUUGGGAAUACUUGUAUAUACGACUUCUGCAUCUAGUCAUUGGGGUCCUAGUCCCCUGAGCAUUGGCACAGCACAGACAUCGCUGAACAAACAAACCCUUCCUAGCUUGAGACCUACUUAGUGUAGUUCUUGCAGGUCCUGCCAUCUCUCUCUGUGCAUCAGUGCAGGAUUCAUGAUGAGAAGUUUAUGUAAACACCACAAGACUUCUGCCCUGCAUUUUGAACUGUAACAGCCACACCUGCUCCCCAUCCACAUAGACCCAGUGAACUGAUAGAAACCGCUUCAUUUCAAAACCAUGAAUCUGCAUACAAUACUGAAGACAAUAAAAACUUUCAAAUCGGUGUAUUUCCAACCUCCUUUUCUUGGGGUGAAGCGGAUGUGCGAAGACCGUGUCACGGGGUUAGUGGUUUUGUGUCAUGUCUCACACAACUUGAUUGGCUCACUCAAGCAUAAGGUAAGUGUAAUCUAGGAGAAGAGAUUGAUUUCACUCCACACACCCCUGACUUGAGGCCUGAGAAAAACUGCUUCCCAUUCAUGGGCUAAAAUGCAUGUCCUGCACUGCUUUUUGCUCAAGGCAAAGAACAUUUAUAGUUGGUUCAUGUCCAAUCCAGCUGCUACAGUCAAAAAAUAUCAGUAUCUGGGUAAAGUAGAGGUAAAACUAUUUCAUGGUGAAAGUCAAAGAAGAUUAAAUCAUAAAUUUCUCCCUCCAAUCACUUUGGCUUUUUAUUUUUUAAUUUUUAUUUCAUAAUAGUGAAAGAUACAUUCUUUAUUUCCCCCAAGCAAAUCCCUUUGUAGAUGGCUUUUCCCCAUUGAUUUGUGACAUUGGCUGUGAGAGAGAUGUGGUUUUAUGUCUGUCUCACUAUCACUAAGUUUUGCUGAUAGCUAUGUUUAUUCAAAUGUAAUAGUGUGCAAUUACAAACAAGACAAUGUCUUUGCAAUACCUGCUUUAUAUCUCAUGGACUCUGGUGACCUGCAUUCAGGUGUCUUCUUUCUGGUGUUGUGGGAAUAGGCCCCUGAUCCUGUACCUCUGACAGCAGUAUUGUGUGACUACAUAACCUGAUUUGUGGCUCUGCUGAAUCCUUUCUGUUGGGAAGAUUGAAUUUUUUUUUUUUUUUGCCAUUUUCUUCACUCCAUUAAAACACUGAUGGUUUUGCCUGUGCUUACACCUUCUUGUCUCUUUCCUCCUGCCAGUUAAUUUUGGCCCAAUUGGUCCCAUUGUUCAGACUCAGGUAUUGUCCUUCUCUGUAGCCCUAUCUCUAAUGUCAAACCUUUGUCCAAUUCUCUUUAGUUCCCAACCAUGAGCCUCACAUAUGUAAAAUGGAUUAGGUCUCAUCCUUUAAAAAAAAAAAAAAAGGCAAUUUUAAAGAAAUUAAAUUAACAAACAACAAACAAACAAACAAACAAACAAAAACCCAGGCAGAAAAAGUGCCUGUUCUCAGACCAGAUUACUUCUUUCUUUUGCUUCUCCAUUACUACCACUGCUCACGCACCACAAGCAUACUGCUGUUUUUAUGGGUUCCACCCCCACCCCCCACAACCUGUCCCGUGCAGGAUGCCAAGCACACAGGAAGGAAGGAGAAGAAGAAAUACUAGUAGUAAUAACUGUGAUCCAAACAGAAUAGGUCUCUGAGUAAUGCUGGCACCUCUCUUUCAAUAUCCUCGAGUGAGUUGGGUGAAUGUUUUGCAGAAGUGAUCAAAGAAAAAUCAAAGAGCAUUAUGUAAACACAUCUGAGUUAACAAAAUGUCUUAUCAUGUCUCAAUUUACACCUGUAAUAAGUUACACAAAACUUACAGGAACUCUUCAUAUGCACAGAACUUGGAUAAAGUCCACUUACUGAAUUAAGGAUCCAAGUUCUCUUCCCUAUUGUAUAAUAGUUUUGAAGUGAAACAAUACUCUUUUUAAAUGAUAAAAUGAAAAAACCCAAGAAGGAAACUCAGCAGGAACAAUGAACACUUUAUAUUUUCCCCUUUCUCCUCUCUCUUAGAUUUGGCAGGAUCUUUCAGGAAUGGAAAACAUACCUUAACUUUAACCAGCAUACAGAAAUUUCUCUAAAUUUCUGCUCUUAUUAAUCUUGGAGCCAAAAUUUGAAGGGUUCUUAAACUCAUUCCUGCAUAUUGUGUUCAUGUGUGCCUUCCUGAUGGUUAUCUUUCAGUGUUUUAAUAAGCCCCUAGUACAGACAAGAUGCUGCUAGGAGAAGAAACAGUUGUACCCAGGAGUGACUUGGAUAACCACACGGUUGCAAAGAUUAUUCUUUUUUAUGUGCUUUUACCACAUUAAACUGAAGAACUUUAAAAAUGUGACUUGAAUGGUAUUUUUAAAGCAGGUGUUCAACUUGGAUCCAGUUUUGUAUGUAUAAUUAUAUACUUACAGGGCCUGAUGGUUAUCUGAACCACGUUUUAUUGCCAAGGGACACAUUCUACUAUUUGUAAUACACACCAGUAUAAGUCUACUAUGCUUACUCUUGGAUUGAUGUUGCUGCAGUGCUUGAGAGCCCUUGUCAUGGAUGAGGAGUUUAUUGUGUUAAGCUCUUCACAAACGGAGGACAAAUAGGUGUUCCCUGCUCCCAUAGGCAACCUAUGGAUGUCUGAUAGGAUUAUUUUUUCUCAGCUGCUCCUUAGAUUUGGGAGGGUCUCAAACAUCAGCAAAAUAUAAUGCUGUCAUUUUACAUUGAUGACAAUACAGUGUCAUGAGGGUUUCCUCAUAUUGUGACCUCAAACCUUGAUCUUAUUAAAAAAAGUCUUUCAUAAUAUUUUAAUCCCCAUCAUCAAGAAAACAUUCAGGAAAAUUCCAUCUGUGCUAAAUGGUUAAGUGGUGUUGCUGUCAUUUGUGUUAAUAUAUGCAAUAGUGUUGAAUGAAGUACAGAGUGAAUUUGUUUUCCCAUUGUGAUUAGAUUGUUAGAGCUUAAACUUGGUGGGUUCAUGAAGCUCAAAUUUUUUACAGGAGAGCAUAUGGAUAGCUAUAAGGUGUUACUGUUCAUAUUUAAAGUAAAAAUGAGGCAUGAAGAGGCACAAGGACAAUCUGUGGAGUACUGGAGGCAAGGAAAGAAGGAAGGUGCAGACAGGGACAGUAACUUACUGUUCUGAAGUAGUGAGGUUGGUGUCUUCACAGCCUCUGUAGGGAAUUUCUACCACUUUCCCACUGUUGCCAUACACAGGUUGCAGCUCUCAUGUUUCAGUUUAUGCUCAUUGCUUUCCAUCCUCCCACUGCGCAUCACUGUAAUGAUGCCUUAAGAUGCACUUAUCUCCAUCUUUUCAAUGAUCUCCUUGAAUGUAUCAGAAAACUGCCAUGAGUUUUCUCCAGUGUCUCCAGUGUCUUUGAUUGUCCAGGUCUCAAAAAGCUCCUGUCCCUCAGCCCUCCUCAGAGGACAAUGUUCCAGCCCCAAAACACUGAAUUCACUUCAGUUUAUUGAUGUCCACCCUGCAUGAGGGGUCCAAAAGACACAGAUGAUUAGAAAAUGAAAUCUCACAAGUGCUGAACAGAUAGAAUUCUUCUCCUCCAUGUGCUGGAUGUGACCCUGUUGACAGAGCCCAGGACACUGUUGGCUGUCCCUGCUAUAUAUGAAGCUACAGAGAUGUUAAGGUGUCAUAAUACCUAAAUGGUCUUACUACUUACACAAGUAGUCACAGUACUUAAGUAGCACUAUGUUGUGCUAUGUAAGUAACAUUGAUCAGUCCUUAAAAGCUAAAAAUCCUGAAAGCUAAAAAGCUAAAAAAGCUAAAAGCUUAAAAGCUAAAAAAAUCAGAUCCAAAGCUUAAAAAACCCCAGGCAGGAGUGGGAAAGUGAGAUUGGAGUAAAAUGGGAUUGAAGUUUGAAAUGCAGAAUCAUAUUUGCAGUUGACUGUACCCAAGGUCCAGACAAAUGCAAGCAAUAUAUCUGAAAAUGCAAAAGCGGGUCUGAUUGCAUUCUUGACCUGGUUCACUUCUUCUUCAUGCAUCUUCAAGUGUUUUAUUGAAGAGGAUGUCUCUGAACAUCAUAUAUCAGUAUCUGUCCAUUUAAUACUGUAGUCUAAGGUGUGUCUAACUAUGGAACAGCAAUGAGCAAAGAUGGUGAAAUUAUGUAAAAUCUGCUGUAGAUGUGAAUCUAGCUUUUUCUCCUUGAAAACGUCUUACAAGAAUUUUUCUUUGACUUUUUCUCUUUUUUGUGUUUUUUUUUUCUGCUUUAAUUAGUCUCCAGGCCCUAUUAAACAGGAACAAAAAGAGGAAGUACACAUAAUCGGCUUUCUACAAAGCAGUCUGUAUUUAUUUAUUUAAGUGAGACAGAAUCUCAAUGUCUUCAGUGUUUUUUAAAAGGAGAUUUAAGCAAAUCAGCUAGGCAGCCAGCCAGGCAGAAUGCAUUUUUAGGCACUGGCUCAAAGGCAAUGUCAAGUCAUAUUAAGCUGGGUGCCUAGAAAUAAUAUAUGUGAGAUUUAAAAAAAAAAAAAAAAAAAAAAAAAAAAAAAAAAAAAAAAAAAUACUGGAAGAUCAUCUUGCCACAGUUGUGGAUGAUUAUUUGAUAGAGAUUGAAAAGAAAUUGCAUUGUAAGUCAUAAAAGGAUGAUGAAAAAUGCUUUGGAGUAUUAAGCUAAUUUGUAUCUGUGGCAAAAUGCAACCUGAUUGCUACUUCUCAGACUUCACUAUGAAUCACCUGAAUAUAGUCAAUAAAAUAUCUGGUUCAAACCAGUUCUCUGGGUUUGACCACCUUCCCAGAAAAAAAAAAAAAAACAAAAAAACCAAAACCAAGGGCUGUCUUAAUUGUUUACUUGUUUUGAAAACUUGCUCAAUGAUUGUGUAUUUCAGUAGGAGAUUUUUUUAUAUUACCCGGUUGAAACAGCUAUUUUGACUUCCCCCUUUUUUUUUUUUUUUUUUAAUAUAUUAAGCAGUACAAAUUAAGCAUCUCACCCACAAAAUAUCAUCUAUAUGAUGAAUAACCAAUUUUGUUCUUAACCCUUGGUGCUGACAUGGGAGCAGAGUUUUCCUCAGCUUUGAAGACCACAGAACCAUUAGGGUUGGAAGGGACCUCUGGAGAUCAUCUCAUCCAACCCUCCUGCCAAGGUAGGGUCACCUAGAGCAGGUUACACGGGAAUAUGUCCAGCUGGGGUUUGAAUGUCUUCAGUGAGGGAAAAUUCAUUGCCAACUCUGGCAGCCUGUGCCAGUGCUCUGUCAUCCUCAAUGCAAAGAAGUUCUUCUUCAUGUUGAGGUGAAACUUCUUGUGCUUUGGUUUACAGCCAUUGCUUCUCAUCCUGUUGCUGGGCACUGCUAUAAAUAAUCUGGCACCAUCUUCUUGACACCCACCUUUGAGAUAUUUGUAUGUAUUGAUGAGAUCCCCUCUCACUCUUCACUUCUCCAGGAUAAACAGGCCAAAAAGCAUCAGUCAUAGGUGAAAUUAAACUGUUUCAAUUGCAAUAUUAAAUAUGUUUCCUACUUGUAACUAACAAGGUAAUUAAUUACACCAUUUAUCUAGCACACUUGACGAGGCAUGCUGGGGUUUACAGAAGCUCAUCGGUAGAUGGUGCUGUUGUGUCUUAAACUACUUCCUAGGAUGAGCUUGAAAUACUGCCCGAGGCACUAGAGGCACUAUAAAGGUUCUGCCUCUAGGCGGCCUUAAGCAAAUUUGGUUUGAGUUGUUUGGUUUGUUGUUUGUUAUUGCUUUUUUGUUUAUUGGUUUGUUUUUAAUUAAGAAUGGGCAGAAUUGAUUUGGUGAGGGUUUAUGUGUCUAUAAAACUUGUACAAAAAAAAAAAAAAAAAGGCCAACCUUUGAAGUAGGUCAUAUGGUUAGAGUAAGGCAAAACAAACUCUGUGUGGGAUGAAUGAGCUGCACUACUGAGUCAGGAAAGAAAGAAAAUCUUUAGGUGUGCACUGAAUUAUUAGUACUUAUGGCUGUUAGUUGCCUGUAAAAAUAUACAACCUCACCUUAUCUAAUUAUGUUUUUCCUCCAACUAUUUGAAUGGCAACUCUGACGCAGGUUCCAUAAAAAGAAAGUUGCACAGAAGAGUGCUGCUAGUAUGUGCAUGAAAAGAACCCUGUGUUGCACUGGAGUGCUCUGUUCUUACUUCAGUACCUGACAUGCAGAAAUCAAAACAUAAGAUUUUCUUUCAGGCUGGGGAAAAAAGCCUGAAGGCAAUCCCUGGAGCAAAAGAAGUCGAGUUACUACGGUGACUUAGUACAGGAUGAGUGUAUAUCACAAACACAAAAGCAUCCUAUUUGUUGAGUAUCUCCUGGACGCAUCUUUUCCAUUCUGAGGAGCUGAUGUAGUCUAGCUGAGCCAAGCUGUUCUGCUUAAUUCCUCAAGAGCAAAAAAAAAAAAAUUAUUUCUAUGUCACAUCUGUCUGGUUGCCACUCCCUGUCAUGAAAUCCUCUCUUUGUUACAUGUUAUUAAGCACGCUUGAUCUCGUAAUCAAUUUUUAAGGCCAGAGAAGAUGAUUGUGAUUCAGAGAGAGCACUUCGUGGGAAAUUGUACACCUAGCUCAUACCCUCAUAUUGUGAGUAGAAUUUCCUCUUGUGACGCAUAAGAAUUUACAUUCGAGAAAUGAUGACAUGUGAUGGUAUUUUCCUCUUAUUGCAUAUGUAAUGUAUCAUUGAUAAAUCUUAUAAAGCCACAAAAAAUUGUAUAGAUUUUGGUGGGAGACAUAUGUAGACAUGCAGACAUGAUAUUGACCUGAACCCUGUAUUUCUUAAGUAGCUUACAUUUCAUAUGGAGAAAAGCUGCUUUACAACCCAUUUAGAUGAAGAUUAACUUGUUUAGUGUUUAUUUUCAUUCCCAGUAGAGCAGUGAUUGAACUCUAUUUAGUCUGAGACAGAUGCAACAGCAAUGUUUUGCCUUAAUUUAAAUAUUGCUAAGUAUAAGGGACAGAAACUCUUGAAAAAGAGUCCAGUCAACUGUUUACACGAUACUUGAGUCACUUGGUUGGACUGCCUGUCCUAUGUUGACUGUAUCCCCAUUAUGUUGAAUAAUAAGUUCUACCCCUUUAAGACUCGUUCCAGGAGUGAAAGGGAGGGGGGAAGAAGCGCGGAGUUUGUUUUCAAGAACUGCACUCCCUCCUCCACAUUUCCAGCUCCUGGACUGUGUCGUCUGCAGAUGGACAGACAG